GCACAAGCGGUGGAGCAUGUGGUUAAUUCGACGCAACGCGAAGAACCUUACCAGGGCUUGACAUCCCCUGACCGCGUAUGAAAGUACGUUUUCACCCUCGGGUGACAGGGAGACAGGUGGUGCAUGGUUGUCGUCAGCUCGUGUCGUGAGAUGUUGGGUUAAGUCCCGCAACGAGCGCAACCCCUACGUUUAGUUGCUAACGCGUGAAGGCGAGCACUCUAGACGAACUGCCGUUGACAAAACGGAGGAAGGUGGGGAUGACGUCAAAUCAUCAUGCCCCUUAUGUUCUGGGCUACACACGUGCUACAAUGGCCGGUACAGACGGACGCAAAGCCGCGAGGUGGAGCAAAUCCUAAAAAGCCGGUCUCAGUUCGGAUUGCAGGCUGCAAUUCGCCUGCAUGAAGUCGGAAUCGCUAGUAAUCGCAGGUCAGCAUACUGCGGUGAAUACGUUCCCGGGCCUU
rnacentral:rRNA from 1 species